UUAGUUUGUACAAAGGAGCAUUGGGGAGAUUAUUUAUCUUUGAUCAUCCUGGGAUCAAUCUGCAAAUGUGCAAGCUCCCUUYAAAUUUGUGUUUGCCAACUGUUAAGCUCCAUGUUACACCCUGGUUCUUAAAGGCCUCAGGAAGAGGGAAACAGGAGACAAAGAGGAGAUGGAUGACUUCAGUGAGACAUUUCAGGAAUUGUUUGAAGACAGCAGCUGCCCCCCCAUCCUGAUUAGAUGCACAGCACUCUGCCAGCUUGAUUUCAAAAGCAGCAUUUCCUACAUUUUUCAAGAUGUGAUAGCCUGGCUUUCUGAUGACCUAUCUCAAGACAAAGUUGGGCUACUUAUCAGUGAAAGGUACCUUGUCAGCCAGCUCGGYAGCAGCGUUCUAUUUAAACAGAAGCAGAUGAAAAGCCAUGGGGAAUAGAAACCACCGCCGCAAAGGUGCCCACAGAAAAGCACCACUCCAGCCCAGUCACAACUCGUACAAAAGCAGUGGUCUCUGUUCUCCUCAGUGUGCUCCCAAAAUGCUCCGACUGGUGGGGCCWCAUCCCAUCCUUCCUCCAGCCCUAUCCCAGAGCUGGAAAACCUGGAUGGAGCAAGUAGAACCAGACUGAUGGUAAAUAGUUCUAUCAGGUAUGGUGUACUGUGACAUCGGGGAGUAUCCACG